UACGGAGGAUGCGAGCGUUAUCCGGAUUUAUUGGGUUUAAAGGGUGCGCAGGCGGAUUUUUAAGUCAGCGGUCAAAUCGUGGGGCUCAACCCCAUCCAGCCGUUGAAACUGGCAGACUUGAGUACAGUAGAGGUGGGCGGAAUUCGUGGUGUAGCGGUGAAAUGCUUAGAUAUCACGAAGAACCCCGAUUGCGAAGGCAGCCUGCCGCAGCGUUACUGACGCUGAAGCUCGAAAGCGCGGGUAUCGAACAGG
rnacentral:rRNA from 1 species